UGCAUGCUCAAUAACUUUCCAUACUAAAAAUCCUUAUGAAAUUUCUGAAGAAAAUGAGUAACUGCGCAUGGACCAGAAUCACCUUUAAAUGUUAAAUGAGAAAAUUACAAUCAACUACACUAGUUGGUGGUAUCAUAUGUGGGAGAGAAUCCUCGCAAGUCAAAACAUAAAGACAAAGAUGUAUCAUUAGAAGAUAAAUCCAAAUAUACAACCACAGGACAACAUGUUGAAUUGUGUGAAUGAGAAUCUCUUGAAUCUCAGCAUCUUGGCAGGUCAAGUGAUGAGUGGUAGCAGUGGGAAAUUCAUCAUUCUCAUUCUUGCAAAGAAGAAAGCAAGAUUCUCAACAAACUCUCUGGUCCUAAAUCCUGAGAGAGAUUUCUCACAUGGGACAGUUUACAGAGGGCAUUAUGCAAUGUCGUGAGGAAGACCAUCCAAAUUGUGUGCAGAAGAGCAGAAAUUAAAUUUAUAUUGCCGAUUCUUACAGCUGCAUUUGAUAAAAGUGAAAGAUGUAACUAUGAAGUAAAAUACAGUGAAGGUGACUGAAUGAUAGUCUUGUCCAAUCAAACAAGAACAUUUGAUUCUCCAAAGAAGUAGAUGGAUGGCAGGCACUUUGGAGACCUCUCCCUUGAGCUUGCCUUUGAGGGACUUUUGCUAAGAGCCAAAUAGCAAUUAGUUCAAGGUUUUCCUGUAGGACAAAAAGACUGAAGUCUUUUUAUUCUUAACAGAUUUUUAGGAUAAAUGCCUAAGCUUUGAAAAAACCCUGUGAGUGCUCUCACUUUUAUUAAGAGAAUUAAGGAUUCUCCACGUUAUUCUAAGCAGAAUGGAGAAACUGCCACGUCUUCAAGAAGGUACCUACAGAAAAGACAAACAAAAAAAGAAGCUUGUUUUGUAUUAUUUCACAUCAGAAAGCCCUUUGAACACGGUUCUGGAAUAAAUUCUGCAUGAAAGCUUCAACUUUUCACAAUAUGGCAACUCAGAAAGAGAGAUGAUUGCAAAAAAAGCAUUCGGACCAGCUGACGCCAAACUUCCAUCAAAGCUAGAGAAAGAUCCAGCCAUAAUUCUAAGGAAAAUGUGUAAGAAAUUGGUCUCACAACAGUCAAGGGGAAUGUACCUCCAAUUCAAUUGAUGCAUUAUGCAACUCUAUGGCUUAUUUGAUGCUGAUCACAUAAUUGUUGGAGAACUUCUGGCAGAAACAACAACCUUUGUUUCACCAGGACAGUUUUCCUAGCUGGAAGGCAGCUCCUGGACCACACCUAAAACAAUACCCAUCUACUACACAAUGAGGAAUUUGUAUUGUCAGCAUGUGGGAACAUAGUUAUCUUCUUAUUUACUCUUGCAGGUACCAGUUCCUGACGGUCUGCUCAGGACAGGAGACACGUUUAGAUAAAUUACCGGAUACCACCAAAUUCUCUGGAAGUAGUCAGGUUUCUUGAGCAAAGGACUUUGGUCAUUCCGCUGCAAGGAUAAAUGACUUCAAACUCAAAUGCCACUAAUUACGUUCCUGAUGCCCAAAUAAAAUCAUUUGCCCUUUAAAACA